rnacentral:lncRNA from 1 species
UGUACCACUGGCAUUUAUAUUGCUAUUCUUCUUUGUCAUAAAAGCAGUCACCUUGUAACCCUUUUUAUCAAGUAAUCUAUGCACUACCUAAAAGUACACUAGACUCCAUCAGGCAAGCUAUAGGUUUACAUUAUAUAAACAUUCCAAUUCUGCCUGCUCAGCACUAGUUGUCGAUAAACGCAAGCCAUUGCAAAACAGCAAAGUAGGUCUGCUUCUCUCUGGGGGAAUAACUAACCCUAUAACUAACUAACUGCCUUGCUCCAUGACAUACUGACAGCAGGAAACACUGUGUAAUCAUACAAAGUGCCUGAAUACAAAGGUAUGGCCACACCAUACCCACGGCAGCUUUCUUGCCUUCAAAAGAGGAAGAAAAGAAAUAGAAACUAACUUGUAUUUAUCAAUUAAACCAGGAAUAGUUUAUAUUUAUCAAUUAAAUGGAAGAAGCAUUCAGAUUAAAAUAGUUCGCUUGUCCACUUUCCCAGCUCCAUUUCUUUAAUAAGAAUAAUAAAUAAAUACAUCUUUUAUCUCAAGUUUAACUUUCAGGUAUGCCUUGCACAUAACAAGAAUUUAACACAUAAUUACUAAAUGUUUGACUAAAUGAUUAAAUGACAGAAAAUUCCAAGGCCAACCUCUUGAUCAAAUGAGAUCAAGGGCUUGUGCUGGCCUCCAACUUUUAUAUUCCAACUUUAAAAAUACUCUAUUUCCUGUGCACUUCUUUAACUGUUUUGGUGUUCUGAAACUCCUAAAGUAACAAGCCAUUAAUUAAAUCUGUUAGGUCUUAAGAGAAGUAGGAUGAUCUCAUUAAACAUUGAAAGAUAAUCAACCAAUGAAAUUUCCUACAAAAACCCAUUGGAAACACUGAAUAUAUAUAUGGACAAUUCAGAUGGGCUAGAG